CAGUAGCCGCGGUAAUGCGAAGGGUGCAAGCGUUACUCGGAAUUACUGGGCGUAAAGCGUGCGUAGGUGGUUGUUUAAGUCAGGGGUGAAGUCCCGCAGCUCAACUGCGGAACUGCCUUUGAUACUGGGUAUCUUGAGUAUGGAAGAGGUUAGUGGAAUUGCGAGUGUAGAGGUGAAAUUCGUAGAUAUUCGCGGGAACACCAGUGGCGAAGGCGGCUAACUGGUCCAUAACUGACGCUGAGGUGCGAAAGCGUGGGGAGCAAACAGGAUUAGAUGCCCCUGUAGUCCCUGUCUCUUAUAC
rnacentral:rRNA from 1 species